GACGAACGCUGGCGGCGUGCUUAACACAUGCAAGUCGAACGGAAAGGCCCUGCUUUUGUGGGGUGCUCGAGUGGCGAACGGGUGAGUAACACGUGAGUAACCUGCCCUUGACUUUGGGAUAACUUCAGGAAACUGGGGCUAAUACCGGAUAGGAGCUCCUGCUGCAUGGUGGGGGUUGGAAAGUUUCGGCGGUUGGGGAUGGACUCGCGGCUUAUCAGCUUGUUGGUGGGGUAGUGGCUUACCAAGGCUUUGACGGGUAGCCGGCCUGAGAGGGUGACCGGCCACAUUGGGACUGAGAUACGCCCCAGACUCCUACGGGAGGCAGCAGUGGGGAAUAUUGCACAAUGGGCGGGAGCCUGAUGCAGCAACGCCGCGUGCGGGAUGACGGCCUUCGGGUUGUAAACCGCUUUCGCCUGUGACGAAGCGUGAGUGACGGUAAUGGGUAAAGAAGCACCGGCUAACUACGUG
rnacentral:rRNA from 1 species